ensembl:lncRNA
UCUUUUCCAUUUUUCCCCCAUUUCCCCAAUUUUUCCCCCAUUUUUCCCAAUUUUCCCAUUUUUUCCCCCAUUUUUUCCCCAUUUUUUCCCAAUUUUCCCGCCAUUUUCCCCAAUUUUUUCCCCCCAUUUUUUCCCCAUUUUCCCCAAUUUUUCCCUAUUUUUCCCCCAUUUUUUUUCCCAUUUUUCCCCCCAUUUUUCCCAUUUUUUCCCCCAUUUUUUCCCCAUUUUCCCCCCAUUUUUUCCAAUUUCCACAGUCUUCCCCAAUUUUUUCCCAUUUUUUUCUCAUUUCCCCACAUUUUUUCACCACUUUCCCCCAAAUUUUCCCCAUUUUUUUUCCAAUUUUCCCCCGUUUUUUCCCAUCAUUUUUUCUUCCAAUUUUCCCCAGUCUUCCCCAUUUUUUCCCAAUUUUUUCCAUUUCCCCCCCAUUUUUUCCCCCAAUUUUCCCUCCAUUUUUCCCCCAAUAUUUUCCACUUUUCCCCCAUUUUUUCCAUUUUUUUCCAAUUUCCCCCCAUUUUUUCUCAUUUCCCCACAUUUUUCCCCCCAUUUUUUCCAUCAUUUUUUCCACUUUUUCCAUUUCUUCCCCAGUUUUUUUCAUUUUUCCCCAAUUUCUUCCCCAAUUUCCCCCCAUUUCUUCCCAUUUUUUCCCCCAAUUUUCCCCCAAUUUUUUCCAUCUUUUCCCAUUUUUUUCAUUUUCCCCCAUUUUUUUCCCCAUUUUUCCAUUUUCCUCAAUUUUUUCCAUUUUCCCCCCCAUUUUUUUAUUUUUUCCCCAUUUCCCCCAAUUUUUUCCCCGUUUUUCCCCAAUUUGUUCAAUUUUUCCCUCAUUUUUUCCCCAUUUUUUCAUUUUUUCCCAUUUUUUUCCAUUUCCCCCCAUUUUCCCCAAUUUCCCCCCCAUUUUUUUCCAUUUUCCCCCCAUUUUUUCCCUUUUUUUCCCUUUUUCCCCCAUUUUUUCCCUAUUUCUUCCCCAUUUCCCCCCAAAUUUCUUCCUAUUUUUUCCAAUUUUUUACAUUUUUUACACCAUUUUCCACCAAUUUUUUCCCCAAUUUUUUCCCAAUUUCCCCCAUUUUCUCCCAGUUUUUCCCCCAAUUUUCUCCCAAUUUUUCCCCAUCCCCCCCCCUAAAAAACAAUGAAUUCCCGCCAAAAAUACUCCAAAUAAAUUUAUUUUUUCUGCUUCAAUUCCGGUUUUUUUCCUCCCAUUUUUCCCCAAUUUUUUCCCCCCAUUUUUUCCCAAUUUUUUCCCCAUUUUUCCUCAAAUUUCCCCCCAAUUUUUUUCCCAAUUUCCCCCCAUUUUUCCUCCAUUUUCCACCCAAUUUUUCCCCAAUUUUUUCCCCAUUUUUCCCCCAAUUUUUUCCAUUUUUUUCCCAUUUUCCCCCAAUUUUUUCCAUAUUUUUCCCAAUUUUCCCCCAAUAUUUUCCAUAUCUUUUCCCAAUUUUUUUCCCAUUUCCCCCCCAUUCUUCCUCAAUUUCCCCCCAAUUUUUUCCAUUUCCCCCAAUUUUCUCCCCCAUUUUCUCCCAAUUUUUCCCCAAUUUUCCCCAAUUUUUCCCCAUAUUUUCUCCAUUUUUCUCCAAUUUUUUCCCAAUAUUUUCCCAUUUUUUUCUCUAA